UGAAUACGAGACGCUACGGCGUCGAAGCAGUCUAUGUCAGACUUCCAAGAAAAGCUCGCAAUAUCAUAAACAAAUAAUGCCUGUACCAUAACCGACACAGGUGGGUAGGUAGAGUAUACUAAGGGGCGCGAGAUAACUCUCUCUAAGGAACUCGGCAAAAUGACUCCGUAACUUCGGGAGAAGGAGUGCCUUAUUUAUAAGGUUGCAAUAACAAGAUCCAAGCAACUGUUUAUCAAAAACACAGGUCUCCGCUAAGUCGUAAGACGAUGUAUGGGGGCUGACGCCUGCCCAGUGCCAGAAGGUUAAAGAAGUUGGUUAGCAUUCGCGAAGCUGAUAACUGAAGCCCUGGUGAACGGCGGCCGUAACAAUAACGGUCCUAAGGUAGCGAAAUUCCUUGUCGGGUAAGUUCCGACCCGCACGAAAGGCGUAAUGAUUUGAUACUGUCUCGGAGAGGGGCUCGGUGAAAUAGACUUGUCUGUGAAGAUGCGGACUACCUGCACCUGGACAGAAAGACCCUAUGAAGCUUUACUGUAACUUGAAAUUGAAAUUGGACUUUAUUUGCGCAGCAUAGGUGGGAGGCUUUGAGAGUAUUCUUGCGGGAAUAUUGGAGCCAUCAGUGAGAUACCACUCUUGUAAUGUUAGAUUUCUAACUUUGUAUCAUUAUCUGGUCAAAGAACAGUUUCAGGCGGGCAGUUUGACUGGGGCGGUCGCCUCCCAAAUGGUAACGGAGGCGUACAAAGGUUUCCUCUGAACGGGUAGAAAUCGUAUCUAGAGUGUAAAGGCAUAAGGAAGCUUGACUGUGAGACCUACAAGUCGGGCAGGGACGAAAGUCGGUCUUAGUGAUCUGACGGUGCUGAGUGGAAAGGCCGUCACUCAACGGAUAAAAGUUACUCUAAGGAUAACAGGCUGAUCUCCCCCAAGAGUUCACAUCGACGGGGAGGUUUGGCACCUCGAUGUCGGCUCAUCGCAUCCUGGGGCGGUAGUACGUCCCAAGGGUUGGGCUGUUCGCCCAUGAAAGCGGUACGCGAGCUGGGUUCAGAACGUCGUGAGACAGUUCGGUCCAUAUCCGGUGUAGGCGUUAGAAUAUUGAGAGGAGCCUUCUUUAGUACGAGAGGACCGAGAAGGACAUACCUCUGGUGUACCAGUUAUCGUGCCAACGGUAAACGCUGGGUAGCUAUGUAUGGAGAGGAUAACCGCUGAAAGCAUCUAAGUGGGAAGCCCACCUCAAGAUAAGUAUUCUC
rnacentral:rRNA from 1 species